GAAAAGGGUUGCAGAUUAAUUUUAAUUUUUUCACGAUUUUAAUACGAAAUUAAGCCGUUUAAGAGAUUAUUUAAUUUUUUUUUAUGGAAAAAAAAAUAAAACCACAAAGUUGUUAAUCGUCUUAACAGCUGCCCGAAAAAUAAAAAAAAAACUUUUUUCGUUAUAAAUACCUCAACAAUUGAUAAAAUUCAUGAAAAUACAAAAAAUGAGCAAAUAUAGUAUAAACUUAGACAGGCGACCCACAUUCUCAGUUACGAACGUGCCAUGCAUAUACAAACACGUUGCUUGUCGUUGCGCUGCUGCUGCAGAAGCAUAAUCAUCAUCUGAACUGACUCGAGCAGCAAAAAGUCGUAACAUGAUCUUCAGAUUGAAAUUGAACUCCCGAGAAUCGGAGAAAUUUGAGAACGCAAAAAAGCUCUCAAAAAUAUUUGCUGGAUGACGUGACGGAUUAACGAUUGUUCAAAUAAAACUUCUGAAGAGUCUCGAAGAUGAAGAAAUUGUAAGAAGGACGUAAAUAUUGACUUUUUUCUUUGUUGUUGUUUUGUCGUUCCGCUGCUUCCACAAAUAAAAAAUAUUGACAUAA